GACGAACGCUGGCGGCGUGCUUAACACAUGCAAGUCGAACGAUGAACCCGGAGCUUGCUCCGGCGGAUUAGUGGCGAACGGGUGAGUAACACGUGAGUAACCUGCCCUUGACUCUGGGAUAACUGCUAGAAAUGGUAGCUAAUACCGGAUACGACCCUCGGUGGCAUCACCAGGGGGUGGAAAGAAUUUCGGUCAAGGAUGGACUCGCGGCCUAUCAGCUAGUUGGUGAGGUAACGGCUCACCAAGGCGACGACGGGUAGCCGGCCUGAGAGGGUGACCGGCCACACUGGGACUGAGACACGGCCCAGACUCCUACGGGAGGCAGCAGUCGGGAAUUUUGCACAAUGGCCGAAAGGCUGAUGCAGCGACGCCGCGUGAAGGAAGAAGGCUUUCGGGUUGUAAACUUCUUUUUAUCAAGAGGCCCCGCAAGGGGAUACAGUAUUGGUAGAAUAAGUCACGGCUAACUACGUGCCAGCCGCCGCAGUAA
rnacentral:rRNA from 1 species